AUUGAACGCUGGCGGCAGGCCUAACACAUGCAAGUCGAGCGGAGCGGCGGACGGGUGAGUAAUGCCUAGGAAUCUGCCUGGUAGUGGGGGAUAACGUCCGGAAACGGGCGCUAAUACCGCAUACUAUCAGAUGAGCCUAGGUCGGAUUAGCUAGUUGUUGGGGUAAAGGCCUUCCAAGGCGACGAUCCGUAACUGGUCUGAGCGGAGGAUCAGCCACACUGUAACUGCACCACGGUCCAGCCUCCUUCGGUAGGCAGCGGUGGCGAAUAUUGGACAAUGGGCGCAAGCCUGAUGCAGCCAUGCCGCGUGGAUGGAGAGGGCCUUCGGGUUGUAAAGUACUUUCAGCGGGGAGGCGUUACCCGCAGAAGAAGCACCGGCUAACUCCGUGCCAGCAGCCGCGGUAAUAC
rnacentral:rRNA from 1 species